rnacentral:rRNA from 1 species
UACGGAGGAGGCAAGCGUUAUCCGGAAUUAUCGGGCGUAAAGCGUCCGCAGGUGGUUGGCCAAGUCUGCUGUCAAAGGGUGGGGCUUAACCUCAUAAAGGCAGUGGAAACUGGCGAGCUAGAGCGCGGUAGGGGUAGGGGGAAUUCCCAGUGUAGCGGUGAAAUGCGUAGAGAUUGGGAAGAACAUCGGUGGCGAAAGCGCCCUGCUGGGCCUGCACUGACACUGAGGGACGAAAGCUAGGGGAGCGAAAGGG